CUUUAAUUUGAUCUAGAUGAUCUUUGAUUUUUUGGUCAUUUUUUACAUCUUUCUUAAAAAUAUUUCACAGAUUUUCAAUAGGUGACAUAUCUGGACUAUGGACUAUUUUCAAACCAAUCCAUCACCUUCAAAUUAGCAUCGUUCAUCCAAGCUUUCACUAUCUUCACUAUAUGGCAAAAUGCAUUGCCCAUCCAGAUGCAGAUAUUCAGCAGAUGGAAGUAAAUAAUCCUCCAGCAGUAAAGUGAUAUAAUUUGAUGCAUUUAUUGUUACUGAUGAAGUGCAAUUGUCCAAUGCCUGAACUGCUCAUAUAUCCCCAUUACGCUUUGAGGGAAUUUGACAGUCCUUUAAAGACAGACAGACAACGAAAAACUUUGAUUCUUUUGGCUAAUAUAAAGUUAUUUACUUCCAACACAUACUUCAAAAUGAGAUUCAUUUUAGAAAAAAAUUAUUUUUUUCCAUGAAUCAUUACUCCAUGAACAGAAUCUCUGCAGCCAAUCUAACUUACAUUUUUUUGUUUUGUACUGAGAAGAAGUUUUGCUUUUGGUUUAAAAAAUGAGUAUCUCGUCAUCUUCAUGUGUCUUCAAUAUAUUGAAGUUAAAACAAUGGUCGUUAUUGUUUCUGACCAUGUGGAUGUGAUAUCUGAUACAGUAAAAUAUCUUUUAUGCAUAAUUUAUUGUGUCUUAAUGGAUGAUCAUCAUGACAACUUGUUUUUGGUCAACCAGAUGAUUUUCCAACAAAAGUACUCAUUUUCUUAAAUUUCUUCACAAUAUCUUUAACUGUUGAUGAUGCAAGACUCAAUAUUCUAGCGAUUCCCUUGUUGACAUUUCUCAAAUAUGUGGGAUGAUGAUGAUAAAUUUUUUUCUGGAAAUUGACUUGCCACAAACCAUCUUUAAGAUUUAUCAGUUACAAGCAUUUACAGUGUUAUUUUAAUACUGAUGUACAUGCUCUAAGUAUGUAAAUUUAAUAGGCAAUGCUUAUUUCUAAGAUGCAGGAGGUUAAUUCUACUAAAAUUCACAUAAAGCUAUUCAUAGGUAUAAACUUCAAAAAGAUUUGGCCACUAAUUAAAUUAUUUAAGGCUA
rnacentral:lncRNA from 1 species